rnacentral:tRNA from 1 species
GGAUUGUGGCUCAGUGGUGGAGCGCUUGCCUAGCAUGUGUGGGGCCCUGGGUUUGAUCCUCAGCACCA